rnacentral:rRNA from 1 species
GAUGAACGCUGACAGAAUGCUUAACACAUGCAAGUCGACUCGAGUCUUCGGACUUGGGUGGCGCACGGGUGAGUAACGCGUAAAGAACUUGCCUCUUAGACCGGGACAACAUCUGGAAACGGAUGCUAAUACCGGAUAUUAUGGUUUUUUCGCAUGGAGGAAUCAUGAAAGCUAGAUGCGCUAAGAGAGAGCUUUGCGUCCCAUUAGCUGGUUGGUGAGGUAACGGCCCACCAAGGCAAUGAUGGGUAGCCGGCCUGAGAGGGUGAACGGCCACAAGGGGACUGAGACACGGCCCUUACUCCUACGGGAGGCAGCAGUGGGGAAUAUUGGACAAUGGACCACAAGUCUGAUCCAGCAAUUCUGUGUGCACGAUGACGUUUUUCGGAAUGUAAAGUGCUUUCAGUCGGGAAGAAGUCAGUGACGGUACCGACAGAAGAAGCGACGGCUAAAUACGUGCCAGCAGCCGCGGUAAUACGUAUGUCGCAAGCGUUAUCCGGAUUUAUUGGGCGUAAAGCGCGUCUAGGCGGCAAGGAAAGUCUGAUGUGAAAAUGCGGAGCUCAACUCCGUAUGGCGUUGGAAACUGCCUUACUAGAGUACUGGAGAGGUAGGCGGAACUACAAGUGUAGAGGUGAAAUUCGUAGAUAUUUGUAGGAAUGCCGAUGGGGAAGCCAGCCUACUGGACAGAUACUGACGCUAAAGCGCGAAAGCGUGGGUAGCAACAGG